rnacentral:rRNA from 1 species
UCAGGAUGAACGCUGGCGGCGUGCCUAAUACAUGCAAGUCGAACGCACAGCGAAAGGUGCUUGCACCUUUCAAGUGAGUGGCGAACGGGUGAGUAACACGUGGAUAACCUACCUCAAGGUUGGGGAUAACAUUUGGAAACAGAUGCUAAUACCGAAUAAAACUUCGUAUCGCAUGAUACAAGGUUAAAAGGCGCUACGGCGUCACCUAGAGAUGGAUCCGCGGUGCAUUAGUUAGUUGGUGGGGUAAAGGCCUACCAAGACAAUGAUGCAUAGCCGAGUUGAGAGACUGAUCGGCCACAUUGGGACUGAGACACGGCCCAAACUCCUACGGGAGGCUGCAGUAGGGAAUCUUCCACAAUGGGCGAAAGCCUGAUGGAGCAACGCCGCGUGUGUGAUGAAGGCUUUCGGGUCGUAAAGCACUGUUGUAUGGGAAGAACAGCUAGAGUAGGGAAUGACUUUAGUUUGACGGUACCAUACCAGAAAGGGACGGCUAAAUACGUG